rnacentral:rRNA from 1 species
GAUGAACGCUGGCGGCGUGCCUAAUACAUGCAAGUCGGGCGAAUGAAGAGGAGCUUGCUCCUCUGAUUUAGCGGCGGACGGGUGAGUAACACGUGGGUAAUCUGCCUGUAAGACGGGGAUAACUCCGGGAAACCGGGGCUAAUACCGGAUAACAAAAGAAGAAGCAUUUCUUCUUUUUGAAAGUUGGUUUCGGCUAACACUUACAGAUGAGCCCGCGGCGCAUUAGCUAGUUGGUGAGGUAACGGCUCACCAAGGCGACGAUGCGUAGCCGACCUGGGAGGGGGGUCGGCCACACUGGGACUGAGACACGGCCCAGACUCCUACGGGAGGCAGCAGUAGGGAAUCUUCGGCAAUGGGCGAAAGCCUGACCGAGCAACGCCGCGUGAGCGAUGAAGGCCUUCGGGUCGUAAAGCUCUGUUGUUAGGGAAGAACACGUACGAGAGUAACUGCUCGUACCUUGACGGUACCUAACCAGAAAGCCACGGCUAACUACGUGCCAGCAGCCGCCGCCG